UACGGAGGGUGCGAGCGUUAAUCGGAAUUACUGGGCGUAAAGGGCGCGUAGGCGGCCUUCUAAGUCGAACGUGAAAUCCCCGGGCUCAACCCGGGAACUGCGUCCGAUACUGGAAGGCUUGAAUCCGGGAGAGGGAUGCGGAAUUCCAGGUGUAGCGGUGAAAUGCGUAGAUAUCUGGAGGAACACCGGUGGCGAAGGCGGCAUCCUGGACCGGUAUUGACGCUGAGGCGCGAAAGCCAGGGGAGCAAACGGG
rnacentral:rRNA from 1 species